AACCUCCGCAAUGCGAGCAAUCGCGACGGGGGGACCCCAAGUGCCACUCUUAACGGGGGGCUUUUAUGAAGUGCUUUAAGAAUAAGGGCUGGCAAGCUGGUGUCAGCCGCCGCGGUAAUACCAGCACCCCGAGUGGUCGGGACGAUUAUUGGGCCUAAAGCAUCCGUAGCCGGUCCUGCAAGUCCUCCGUUAAAUCCACCCGCUCAACGGUUGGGCCGCGGGGGAUACUACAGGGCUAGGAGGCGGGAGAGGCAAGCGGUACUCGAUGGGUAGGGUAAAAUCCACUGAUCCAUUGAAGACCACCAGUGGCGAAGGGGGCUUGCCAGAACGCCUCGACGGUGAGGGAUGAAAGCGGGGGGAGCAAACCGGAUUAGAUACCCGGGUAGUCCCAGCUGUAAACGAUGCAGACUCGGUGAUGAG
rnacentral:rRNA from 1 species